rnacentral:rRNA from 1 species
GAUAAACGCUGGCGGCGUGCCUAAUACAUGUAAGUCGAACGAAGGUAUGUAGCAAUACUUACCUUAGUGGCGAAUGGGUGAGUAACGCGUUGGUGACCUGCCCCGAAGAGAGGGAUAACAGUUCGAAAGGAUUGCUAAUACCUCAUGUGGUCAUGAGAGUUAGAGGUCUCAUGUCUAAAGGAGUAAUCCGCUUUGGGAGGGGCCUGCGUCCCAUCAGCUCGUUGGUAGGGUAACGGCCUACCAAGGCUACGACGGGUAGGGGGCCUGAGAGGGUGGCCCCCCACACUGGCACUGAAACACGGGCCAGACACCUACGGGUGGCAGCAGUAGGGAAUAUUGCACAAUGGGCGAAAGCCUGAUGCAGCAACGCCGCGUGAGCGAUGAAGGCCUUCGGGUCGUAAAGCUCUUUUUGAGGAGAUGAGGAAGGACAGUAUCCUCAGAAUAAGGAUCGGCUAACUACGUGCCAGCCGCCGCGGUAAGAC